rnacentral:rRNA from 1 species
UAGGGAAUCUUCCGCAAUGGACGAAAGUCUGACGGAGCAACGCCGCGUGAGUGAAGAAGGAUUUCGGUUCGUAAAACUCUGUUGUUAGGGAAGAAAAAAUGUAUAGUAACUAUAUACAAAAGAGACGGUACCUAACCAGAAAGCCACGGCUAACUACGUGCCAGCAGCCGCGGUAAUACGUAGGCGGCAAGCGUUGUCCGGAAUUAUUGGGCGUAAAGCGCGCGCAGGUGGUUUAGAAAGUCUGAUGUGAAAGCCCACGGCUCAACCGUGGAGGGUCAUUGGAAACUAAUAAACUUGAGUGCAGGAGAGAAAAGUGGAAUUCCUAGUGUAGCGGUGAAAUGCGUAGAGAUUAGGAGGAACACCGGUGGCGAAAGCGGCUUUUUGGCCUGCAACUGACACUGAGGCGCGAAAGCGUGGGGAGCAAACAGG